AUUGAACGCUGGCGGCAGGCCUAACACAUGCAAGUCGAACGGAGUGGCGGACGGGUGAGUCAUGGCUAGGAAUCUGCCCGGUGGGGGUGGAUAACGGAAGGAAACGGGCGCUCAUACUGCAUACUAUCAGACGAGCCUAGGUUGGAUUAGCUAGUUGGUGGGGUAACGGCCUACCAAGGCGACGAUCCGUAACUGGUCUGAGAGGAUGAUCAGUCACACUGGAACUGAGACACGGUCCAGACUCCUACGGGAGGCAGCAGUGGGGAAUAUUGGACAAUGGGCGAAAGCCUGAUCCAGCCAUGCCGCGUGUGUGAAGAAGGUCUUCGGAUUGUAAAGCACUUUAAGUUGGGAGGCGUUACCAACAGAAUAAGCACCGGCUAACUUCGUGCCAGCAGCCGCGGUAAUUC
rnacentral:rRNA from 1 species